GUAGGGUGCAAGCGUUAAUCGGAAUUACUGGGCGUAAAGCGUGCGCAGGCGGUGAUGUAAGACAGAUGUGAAAUCCCCGGGCUCAACCUGGGAACUGCAUUUGUGACUGCAUCGCUGGAGUGUGGCAGAGGGGGAUGGAAUUCCGCGCGUAGCAGUGAAAUGCGUAGAUAUGCGGAGGAACGCCGAUGGCGAAGGCAAUCCCCUGGGCCUGCACUGACGCUCAUGCACGAAAGCGUGGGGAGCAAACAGGAUUAGAUACCCUGGUAGUCCACGCCCUAAACGAUGUCAACUGGUUGUUGGUCCUUCACUGGAUUAGUAACGAAGCUAACGCGUGAAGUUGACCGCCUGGGGAGUACGGCCGCAAGGUUG
rnacentral:rRNA from 1 species